UACGUAGGGUGCAGGCGUUGUCCGGAAUUAUUGGGCGUAAAGAGCUCGUAGGCGGCUUGUCGCGUCGACUGUGAAAACCCGUGGCUCAACCAUGUGGUCUGCAGUCGAUACGGGCAGGCUAGAAUUCGGUAGGGGAGACGUGGAAUUCCUGGUGUAGCGGUGAAAUGCGCAGAUAUCAGGAGGAACACCGGUGGCGAAGGCGGGUCUCUGGGCCGAUAUUGACGCUGAGGAGCGAAAGCGUGGGGAGCGAACAGG
rnacentral:rRNA from 1 species